AUAUCGAUGUAUUCUGUUUCAUUUACGAUUUUAAACAGAUACAGUUGUUUAUUUCCCAACACAGAAAAUAUGCAGACUAAAGCACUCGUAUUGGUCCUGGUAAUAGCCAUUGCAAUGGUGUCAACAGUGAGGGCCAGUAAAUGUAAGACGAUUUGUAAUGAUGAGGUUAGAAUCUGCAAGUUGGAGUUUUGUUUAAGCCACAGCGACAAAUCUUGCAAAAAGAAGUGCAAUAAGAUCAAGAAAGACUGCAUGGCGCUGUGCAAAUUUGAUAAACGACGUAAUGUUCAUGCACCUUAUGAGGUCAAAGAGGAUCUUGAUGAUGAAGAUAACGAUGAAUAAACUGUUCAUUGAUACAUUUUAUGUUAAUCAUACGAAAUAAAUCAAUCUGUAAAUCA